rfam:Oryza meridionalis cultivar OR44 (W2112) chromosome 2, whole genome shotgun sequence.
GCACCAGUGGUCUGGUGGUAGAAUAGUACCCUGCCGUAUAGACCCGGGUUCGAUUCCCGGCUGGGGUG